GUGCCAAGGGGAGCUUCCUAAAAGGAGGCUGAGAGGUGCAUGUUCUGCACGACCCUGAACCUGAUUUGGAUAAUGCCAACGUAGGGAAGCGCAGC
rnacentral:ncRNA from 1 species